rnacentral:rRNA from 1 species
UACGUAGGGGGCAAGCGUUAUCCGGAAUUACUGGGUGUAAAGGGAGCGAAGACGGUAAUGUAAGUCUGGAGUGAAAGGCGGGGGCCCAACCCCCGGACUGCUCUGGAAACUAUGUUACUAGAGUGCAGGAGAGGUAAGCGGAAUUCCUAGUGUAGCGGUGAAAUGCGUAGAUAUUAGGAGGAACACCAGUGGCGAAGGCGGCUUACUGGACUGUAACUGACGUUGAGGCUCGAAAGCGUGGGGAGCAAACAGG